rnacentral:misc_RNA from 1 species
GAUGAAGAACGUAGUGAAAUGCGAUAAGUAAUGUGAAUUGCAGAAUUCAGUGAAUCAUCGAAUCUUUGAACGCACAUUGCGCCCCCUGGCAUUCCGGGGGGCAUGCCUGUUCGAGCGUCAUUUCACCACUCAAGCCUCGCUUGGUAUUGGGCAACGCGGUCCGCCGCGUGCCUCAAAUCGACCGGCUGGGUCUUCUGUCCCCUAAGCGUUGUGGAAACUAUUCGCUAAAGGGUGUUCGGGAGGCUACGCCGUAAAACAACCCCAUUUCUAAGGUUGACCUCGGAUCAGGUAGGGAUACCCGCUGAACUUAAGCAUAUCAAUAAGCGGAGGA